GUGAGCCGCGCGCUGCGCGAAGCGGAGGUCCACUGCGGCUACCGGAGACUGCCGGGCUUUGUUAUGCUUGGGGGGGAAGAAAGCAGCGCCAGGGGCACCUCUCACCUGAUCGAUUGCAAACUGACAGACAGAAUUGCAAGACUGCGGCAUCAGGGGGAAGAGACCCUCACUGUUGACAUGAUCCAUCAGAACAAUGCAAUCAAACUGCAUGAAGUACAGAAGAAAAUCAUUCAAGACAAUGUGAGUUUCGAAGGCUUCACCCGUGUCACCCUUCCCAUCAUUGAGCAUGUCCUCAAACGCAACAGAAUAUGGAUGACACAACUGUACACAGUGCCAUUUGAAUACAGAAUAUGGAUGACACAACUGUACACAGUGCCAUUUGAAUGCAAUUCAAAGAGGGACAAGAAGCAAAGAUUGCAGUAGGUUUACAACACGUGGGUGGCUGAGAAGACUGUGAUUGCAGCCCAUGAAAAGGAGAACAAGGGGAUAGGCGGCGGGUGAGUAGAGGCAUGAAGAUGGCACAGGAUAUACUGUACUCUCACAAAGUAUCUGUUAAAUCCAGGAGAAUGAUUUCUUUCCUGUCCAUGAUGUUCAAAGAGAUACCGCAUUAUGACAAGACUGACGACACCAGAAGGAAAUGAACAACAUGCAUAAUAAAGCAAAAGCUUUCAAAAUCAGAUUUUGUUUCAUUCCGAGGAUCUGGCCUCAUCAUUUGUUCACUCCACAGAUGUAAACAGUUGCUGCGCUUUCAUCUUUUCAAUUGGUUGCUGCUUAUUUAAUGACUGGCUGACUUCCUCGAAGGAAGCACUUUGCUUAAGGCAUGGUAGCGCGAGCACAAGCAUGAGCACAGCACACAGACAGCCGACAUCCUCCUUGUGUCCCUGCAAGUUUGGACUUCAUGCUCGUGUGCAUCUGAGUUGUUUCAAUUAUUAACGCUACAUGCACAAGCAUAUGCAAUACCGAUGUCUUGUAAAUGGGCCUCACUUGUGACGCAUGUGUAAACCCUCUCGCUACAUUGCUCAGCAAAUUUAUUAGUCCACCUGUUUUAAAGAGAUGAGAUUAUCCAGCAUCCUUAGGUGCGGUAGUUGAGACUCUUUCAAUUUCUUUGCAGAAUCUAUCCAUCUUAAUUGAACACUUCAUUAGGUAUACCUGCUCAGUAUAAUGAGACCUAAUCCAAAAGACGCCUUACAAAUUCUGAUUUUACAAAAAAAAGUUGAGUUUUGAUUGAUGCUUUUAGAAGGGUAUUAUUUUGUAGGUUUAUAUGAUAAUUGUAUAUUAUAUAGCGAUUUAACAAUAGAUAGGUUGAUUGUGCGACUGCGUGCCCAAGGUUGUUUUUUAUUUCUGCAAUUAAUCUUUACAAUCCUAUCAA